rnacentral:rRNA from 1 species
GAGUUUGAUCCUGGCUCAGAACGAACGCUGGCGGCAUGCCUCAUACAUGCAAGUCGAACGCUCUGCAGGCUUCGGUCUGUGGGGAGUGGCGCACGGGUGAGUAGCGCGUGGGAACCUGCCCAACAGUGGGGGAUAACCGAUGGAAACGUCGGCUAAUACCGCAUGUGCCCGGGGCAACUCGGGGAAAGAUUUAUCGCUGUUGGAGGGGCCCGCGUCGGAUUAGCUAGUUGGUGGGGUAACGGCCUACCAAGGCGAUGAUCCGUAGCUGGUCUGAGAGGAUGAUCAGCCACACUGGGACUGAGACACGGCCCAGACUCCUACGGGAGGCAGCAGUAGGGAAUAUUGGACAAUGGGGGAAACCCUGAUCCAGCAAUGCCGCGUGAGUGAGGAAGGCCUUAGGGUUGUAAAGCUCUUUCGCACGCGACGAUGAUGACGGUAGCGUGAGAAGAAGCCCCGGCUAACUUCGUGCCAGCAGCCGCAGUAAG